rnacentral:lncRNA from 1 species
CUUCAGCGAUUCCUCUUCAGCUGAUCUCCUAGAGAGAGAAAACACAUUGUACUUUAUGUAGUUGUUUUGAUCAUGGCAGUUUUGGAGGGUCUUUUCAGAUUUAUUUUCACAUUGAACUUUGUCUUCCCUGGCAAUCUAGGUUUUCUCGUUUGUUGAUUUGUUUUACAAUCUCUGCUGAUAUUCUUUAUUAUUUCCUGUGUGUUGAAUUACUGCGUCAUAAAUAUUUAGAAUGUGGCCAUACUCGGUAAAGCAAUCUUUGCAUUGCUUUUGUUUAGGCUCUUAUUUUUACCCAAGAGCUAAAAUAUUUAGCUCAUAAGAAACACUGCUUGCUGAUUUAAUGAUAGUACAAUAAUUUGUGUCACCAAAUGCUGCCUGGUUUUUUAAAUUCAUGUCCCUUUAGCUUUUGUUUCUCCCUGUAUUCUGAGGUAUGUUUGUGUGUGUGUUUAAAAACAUGCUACCAAGGCCAAAUCUCCUUUCUAUUUUGUGCCUCAUUUCAAUUGAUGUUCACGACCUGUCUUUCCUUACAGGGUGUGUGUUGAUUGCAUGAGUUUAUCAAAGCAUCCCUGCUGCUUAAUGUAAUAAUAGCUUUGAUAUGAAAUUAUUGAGAGAUCAACUAUAAUAGCUCAGACUCCAGGUUAAAUGCUAUAAUUAUUCUCUUCGCAGUGUUUUCCUCUCAUGUUUUGAAAAUCCCUGUGAGCAUAUUGUAUGAUUCUUUUUAAUGUCCUAUAUAGUAGAGAAUACAUCUUCAAUGCUGGCUUCCAAGCAAGAGCAAAGAGAAGAGGGUAAGACAAAAAGGGCUUCUGGCCACAUUCUAAUCCCUUCUUUUAAUGCAACUUCUUUGGUAGAUAAAGGGCAAGACUUCUGGCAGGUUUCAUUAUUAGGUCUUUGCCAUUUCUAGCUCUAUUGUUUCAGAAUUGGAAUGGGAUGCUUUGUUUAUCUUAGAAGAAUGUAAGCCAUCCAAAGGGAAGUUCAUUAACAGUGCCCUCUAAAUGACUCAUUCUGUUCAACUGUUGAACUUGCUCCAAGAAAAGCCACAAUCAGAAGACUCUGCAGUGGUGUUUGGCAAAUAGUGGCAGUUGAAGAUGCAGAUUCUUUUCAUAGCAUCUAUCAAAGAGAGACAAUGAUGAGAACUACACUAAAGACAAUUUGUAUCCACCAGCUGCAGUGUUGCACCUGAAAUUUUGGCUUGGUUUUAGGGAAACAAAGUCCACCCCUUGCUUAGGGACAAGGGAGAAAUGCAUUUAGUUUACAUUUUUAUUGUAAUGCAAACUUCCCAGAUUUCCACUUCCUGAACCAAUAUGUGAACUGAAAUUUUCCCUGGGAAAUCCCUAUUUUUCUGAAUGUUGUGAUGCAGUUCUCCAACUAAAUAAUGCAUACAAAGAUGGGAAUAUUAGUGAAAUAAUGUACAAAACACACAUUCUGUUAAAGAAUAUUGCUUGCGAAAAUGCUUAUACCAGACAAAAUUGUGCACACAAUGUGCGUAUUAAGAGAAAUGUGCAUGAAAGUAAUUAUGAAUUUUUGAGUGGAACUUUUUUGGUGAGAUUGCAGUGGGUUGAGCUGAAUUUAAAAUUGGGAAAAUAGAAAUUGGCAGAUUUGUCCAUCCCUGUCCCUUGCAUUGCCAAAACCCUCUCCACCCCCUUUACCUUAAUGUUCAUUUCUUUGGGAGCUAUUCCUAGAUCUCAAGUAACAUAAGAAACAGUCCUGAAGAAUAACAACAGAUUUGAGGUAUAUGCAAUCCAGCUUAUUAUGACAGUGGAUCCAAGUAUGUGGCAUUCAGUGAUGCAGAAGCAAGACACCUGACGAUCUUAUCCUGCCACAAAUUCUGCUUAGUCAUUGACACAGAUGCAAGACAGCUCUUUAUUUCUGGAUUUUUUGCAUAUGUUUGCAAUUUUUGAAGUUUGAAGUGGGGUUUGAAUACACUCUGAAGGCAGUUUGUGGAUACUUUUUUUUCAAGUAAAGGUUUUGAAAAGCAAUUGAAGAACUGGAAAGUGAAGGAACUGAAUGCUUAACUAGAUGAGACACCUUUUGCACAAUGGCAGUUGGGACCCAAGCACAAUCAGUUUUAACCUUUUGCUUCUUGCUUCAAUCCAAUAGGAGUCUAUCUGUUAUUAGACGAAAACUUCUAUAUGGUGCAAAUGGCAGCUUUUCUUCCAACAAAAAUAGCAGGUAAGGAGGACCUAAUCCAUCUCAGAAUUACAGCAGCAAGCAAAAGUGUUAAAGUCUCAAAGGCCAGGAUCCUCAACAUCUUCUAUUUACUUUUGAAAAGCCAUUCAAACAGCUGCUAAUUGCAUAGACUUCAGCUCCCCUAACUUGGCCCUGGAAUGCAUAGCAUUAUUGAUUUCAGCUUGAGGUUUUUUUUAAUUAAUGACCCAUAUUUUCAAAAUAGGUUUUAGCUGCUUAAGAUGAUGUAAGGUUCAUUCAGUUUAUGGCUCAUGUUCAUUUCCACCCCAUAAAAGAGGCAUAGAUAUAGAUAUAGAUAGAUAUAGAUAUAGAUAUAGAUAAUAUUAUGUCUUUUAUGGGGGGGUGAUGAAUGUGAGCCUUAAAUCAAAUGACCCUUACAUCAUUCUUCCAUUUCCUGAUCUUUCUAGAGCAGGGAUGAGGAGCCUGUUGCCCUCUGGAUGUUGCUGUAUGAUAACUCCCAUCAUCUCUUACCAUUGAUCAUGUUGGCUGGAGCUAAUGGAAAUUGGAGUCCAAUGAGAUAUGGAAGGCUCAUUCUCGCUGAUUCCCCACUCCUGUUCUAGAGAGUGCCUCAGAUGUAUUGCAUCCAGGCUGCUGUCUUGGAGAUCUCUUAGAAAAUUGAUUUUCAUUAUGUUAAGGGGGCCAGGUGUUGAAAAAUAUAUUAAAACAAAAUAUCCUUAUUUAGUAAAACAAUUGUGGAAGAUUGCUGGAGAAAUAAUAUCAAGUUGUAUCCAGUGUCACAGGCCUGAUUGGGUAGUGCAGUUUACAGGGGGAGGAGACAAUGGCAAAUUUCUGUAGUGCAAGCAGAAUCCAUUCCACACACAGAGAGACCUAGAAGCAUAGCAAAUGUAGUUUCCAAUUGCUUCUUGGUUCAAUGCAUAUCCCAGUGUUCCUAGUAGCAAUAGAUUUCCCCAAGCAUCUAAUGACUGAUAAGGCCUUCAGACUGAGACCUUCACAAUACAGUGGUACCUCAGGUUAAGAACUUAAUUCGUUCUGGAGGUCUGUUCUUAACCUGCAACUGUUCUUAACCUGAGGUGCCACUUUAGCUAAUGGGGCCUCCCGCUGCCACCGCACCGCCAGUGCACGAUAUCUGUUCUCAUCGUGAAGCAAAGUUCUUAACCCAAGGUACUAUUUCUGGGUUAGUGAAGUCUGUAACCUGAAGCGUCUGUAACCCAAGGUACCACUGUACAGAAAUCUCCCCUGCUCUUUUCCUUCCUCAAAAGGGUGAGUUUGGAAAAGAGAAGAAUGGUGACGUGGAGAGAUAGGAAGGCUCUAAUUUGUUCAGGACCCAAUUCAGAAGGGAUUUGGAUGAUGGACCCUUCAGUCUACUUAUUUAAAUCCUCUCAAACUCAGACCAGCACCUUCACAAAUUUCAGUAUUUCCCCUCUAAUAUUGUUAUGAGUUUGUGAGUGCCAGACCCCUUCAAUCCCUGGAUCCAGCAAGUGUUAAAAUAUAACCCAGGUUUGCUUCCUUAUGAGGUAAUCACCUGGGUGAUGGGCCAUUAUGAGGACAAAGGAAAGGAGGCUCUGUGUGAGAUGGCAAAUGGGUGACUUGCAGAAGGACAAAGGCAGUUUGGAGCAGAGUUUUGGGGGCUGUGUUGUGAACUAGAAUAAAAGUAGCAAGCUGGAGAGAGUGUCAGAGUUUGGUUUCUGUUUGACUCCAAGGCUGUGACUAUGGGAGAAGACUUCUUUGGGGAGUUGAUGCUGUGAACCCUUCCAUUGCAGGCUCAGGUUGUAUAUAUGCAUAAAUAAGCCAUAUAUCAUGAAGACACCACAGUCUCCACUGUGCCUAAUUCACAAAAGGAAAUAUGAGCCCCAGGUAAGUAGAAUCUCACACAGCUCAAAUAUUGGGAUGUGUGGAACAAUAUGUUUCCAGUGUUCAGAUGGCCCUGAAAGUCAGGUGUUCAGACCUAAUUCCAUCCAACUACACAUCCACAUGCUUUGAAAUAAAUGUCCAUGCUAAUUUAAAAAUCAUUCCUACUAACAUUGCUCCUGCCACUGAUGCAGAAUUCUAAGGACAAGCACAAUUAUGAAAAUAUGUAUUAAACCUCCUUUAUUAAUGACUUCUAAUACGUAUUCUUCCAGCAAGGACCUGUUCACUAUGUAUGUUGUUUAGUCAUGAUUAUAAGCACUAAUUAUCAUUCUCCCAGAUGUGUUUUUUUUGUCCUUUGUCAGUAAAAUUGAAUACAAUGUAUAAUUUUGAAGUGCUGAAUUUUUAAAGAAAGAAAUGGUAAUUAGGAAAUGUGAGAAAUUAAUUCAUGUUGUUUAUAAUUAAAGUAAAAAAUGUUAACUUGUAUAAUGCAGUCUAACCUGCUUGUUCACAAAUAGAACAAUAAUGUUGGCAACUGAUAUGUAGAUACAACAAAUGCAUUAUACUAAUUUCUAAAGUACUUUACUUUUAUUUUGAUAGAACAUUAGAACAUCUCAGCCCAGAUAGACUUACUUGGAAAUAAUUUUAUGAUUUUUGGUUUAUGCAGUCCUCAGCACACACCUUUGUGAGAAUCUCAUUAUACAAAAUACGGGAGACUGAAAUGGAUUGCCGAUAUUCCUUCUGGCAUUCCUUCUGUGCUUUUAAUUGUUGCACGACAAGCAGAAAUUUAGCAGGCAGCACUUUCUGGCACAGAAAGGUAGAAUCCUGCUAAACGUAAGCUGUUUCAGAAAAAUCUGAGGCCCCUAUUAUCCAAUGGCCUGCAUUCUUAAAGCCUGGAGACGAGAUGAUUAAGAGGCAAUAUGAUAGCUAUUUUCAACUAUUUGGAGAGCUAUCAAAGAACACAUUUGCUCUGUGUUCUAAAUGAUAAGACAUGAGUCAAGAGCAGGGGUCAGCAAACUUUUUCAGCAGGGGGCCGAUCAACUAUCCCUCAGACCUUGUGGGGGGCCAGACUAUAUGGGGGGGGGGGGAAUGAACGAAUUCCUAUGCCCCACAAAUAACCCAGAGAUGCAUUUUAAAUAAAAAGCACACAUUCUACUCAUGUAAAAACACGCUGAUUCCUGGACCGUCCGCGGGCUGGGUUUAGAAGGUGAUUGGGCCAGAUCUGGCACCCAGGCCUUAGUUUGCCCACCCAUGGUUCAAAUGACAAAUACAAACAAACCAAAAUUUCGGUUAAAUAUUAGGAGGGACUUUCUGUUUGAAGUCUGCCUCAGAAGGUGGUGGAUUCUCCUUUGUUGGAGAUCUUUAAGCAGAGGCUGGAUGGACACCUAUCAGGGAUGCUGCAGCAGUGGAUAUCUUGCAUUUGCAUAGGGUUGAACUGGGUGACUUUUAAGGUCCCUUCAAACCCCAUAAUUCUAGAGGAAACACUCUACACUUGAGCUGUCACUUCAUAUUGUACAUACAGCAUGAAUCCUUUUCUGGAUGACAAUGGAUACUCCUGCCAUCAUGCACUCUGGAAUUUAUUUUAUCCAGUUCACUGGUGCCCGUAGAACCCCUGAGAACUAUGUAUCACACCCAAUGGCUAAUAUCAGUCUGCCUACCUACCUGCCGGGCAGCCAGCCUGCCUGCCGUCCGCUCUUUGAUAUUUAUUUGACAGAUAGCAAUACAAUGCAACAUAUUAUACAGAAUAUAUAAUGCAAACAUACGUUUAAAAACCAGCACAGAACAUCUAAAUUUAUUUUCUUUAAAUGUCCACGCAGUCAAUUUAUGUUGGUCAGUAACAUUCUAAGAUUCUGCAGUAACAUGCAAUCAAUUCCAGGCUAAUCGAUAUAAUACAGUCUGCUGCUGAAAUGAUUUGUGAUCUGAUAAAUACAGUCUAGCAUUCUGGUUAGGCUUUUAGCCCAGAGGUAUUGAGUUCCUUCUUAGUUGCUACAUCACUUAUUUUAGCAUACAGAGUGCCUGAUUUUUAAGCUGUUUACUCAGAGAUUUAGGUACAGUUGAAUAUCUUUUAUGUUUUUUCCACUGUAGUUUUCUAAAACUUAAUUUAAAGUGUAUGGAUUUAUAUGAUGAGCUGUGUGGAACCCUACACAGAGACAGGAUGGUGUACUCAGCAUGUUCCAUGAAAUCUAUCUUCAACCUACUGGGGCUCAGGAGUUUAUAUUGGUGCAUUACUAUAUGUUUAGAGGGAAUCUUUUAAUGAUAAUUAAAUUUGACUUACAUGCUGAAGACAUGCUGAAGAAAUACUGUUAUUGUUAAUCCUACCAUGGGUUUUGCUCUUCUAUUAAAUUCGUUUUAGGAUUCUUGAUUACAAUAUCAAUGUGGGGAGGAAGGGGAGAGAUAGGGAAUGUGGCCAACAUUUUAAAGUGUGGUUCAUUAUCAGCAUAUAGAUGGAGUGAGAACAUCUCCACAUCCUGAGUCAGCAGGAAACGAUAAUUUAAGGAAGAUAACGUGUCAAAAUGUGUCUCUUGGCCUUUUUUUACACCAGAUUUAUGGAGCAACCAUAAUCCACAAUAAAAAGUCACAUCCAUGCCAAGUAAUAUAGAGGAUAAUUCUAAGUGCCCAGUAGAGUACGUGCAAUUAUCUUUCAAACUGAAUCAGUGCAAUGUUGGGACAGCCUGUAACACAGAGAUGUCAAUCCAUUGCACUAAUUAGAUUUACACACCACAUUCAUUUUAUCUGUAGUUUGCCCCCCAAAAGAGGGGUCAGGAAGGGAAGAAGGUAGACAUGACACAUUUCAAUCUUUUGUAUGUGGGGGGCAGGGGUGAUCAUCAAAGAAAUGAAUAGUCAUGUUCUUCUAUUGCAUAGGGACCUUCAAUAGCUUGUUUCCUUAUGAGAGAGAGAGGGGGGGGGAAAUAGGGGGUUGUAUGCAGCUUCAGAAAAUUAUAUUGUGAUGGUUGAAAUGUUGAGGGUUGCAUCCAAUUAUCUUCUACUCAUAGAACAUUCAUUAAAGUUAACAAACCUAAGUUAGCUAUGUCUAUUAAUUAUUCUGUGUGUAACUAACAUUUCAAUCAAUGCUGAUGGUUUGACAGAACAAGUUUUUGAUAAGUUAGUUUUUUCCCCUUUUGAAUGUAAUGCCCCUCAGCAAUGGUCUAAAAUAAGGAUUUCAUAAUACAGCAGGUCAAUAAAAUUUAUCCCAAAGCCCAACAUCUAUAAUCAUAUUUCUUUAAGAUCAGUUCACAGUUCAUGUCAGAAUUUCCAUGACAUAUAGCUCAUGAUAGGCAAUGCACAUGAUUUGUGACUGAUUGUGGCUUCCUAGGGCAUGCAUUGUACAUUGCAACCACUUUCUAACAGUGUUAAGUGCCAAUAUGUUGGAAGCUAUGGUCAUAAGUGUACUUCAUAGUGUAAUCCUAUAUGUUUCUACACAGAAGUAGGCCCCACUGAGCUUACUGCCGGAUAAGUGAACUUUGAAUCCAUGUUCUUGGUUUGAGUAGAGCUGUAGGAUCAACAUUAUACAUAAAAAGCACACCUGCAGUUCAUGUACAGUAGCAGCCUCCAUCGAGGAAUGUCAUCAUGUAUGAAGCAGCUUGUCACAGUUGGUCUCUAUGGCGUGAUUCCUUACUUCAGGUUCUGCCUGGUGGAUUCUUACUUCCCCAUUGAGCCAAGGACCUUUCUCAUCACAGGGUCUCCCUUCAGCAGGCAGCCCCUGUUGAUACUUUUCUAUUUCUCUGGUUCCUCGCUGCAUCUGCAGUCCCUGAGUUUCUUCUGAACCUGCCCUUGAGGCUUUUCCUAUAAUAAAUCAUCCCCCACCGCGCACCUUUCUUCUGUGAGUUGCGAGAUCUUGAAAAACCCUUUCUCCUUUUUGCCUAAUCUCCAUUCUGUGGUGCUUCUCCUGCCUCACUUUCUCACUCACAAUGGCCACCAUUUUUUGAGCUGUGAGAUGCGUGAGAGUUGUGGUGACCCACUUUUGGCCCAGACCUGUUUCUGUCUGGCCAGGCUGAAAGCAGGAUGCCACAGAGGCCAGCACAAAGCACCCUGCUCAGUUCCUCACACGACUCUUCUCAAGAUGACCCCAUAUUUCUCAUUUGAGUUGCAGUGGCUAAAUCCCUAUGGCUGUUUUAGCUUUUGAUCUUCCUCCCCUCUUUUGAGUUGUUUGAGCGUAAUUACUUUAAGUAGGUAGGGGUUUCCCCCUCCUUGCACUUCAUAUAUUAAUAUCAUUAAUCAUUAGCACCUUUAAAUUCACUCUGCAUUGCUUUAAUAAAUGUUAAAUUAUGAAUGUGGACAAAGAAAUUACACCUAGGUGAUUUUAAAGCACAGCCAGGAAAAUAAUAGAGUCUCUAGUGAGCUUUCGAGAAAUGAGAUUAGUCUUGGAGAUAUGUACCUAAAAGAUGGGUUAUUAAUGAAGUAUGGAUGAAAGCCAGAAAUGGCCAGGAAAUAUUCAUAAUGUUUUGUCUGAGUGGCUAAAGCAUCGUCACAUAUCUCAUUCUCUCCUUUCUUCAUAUUAGGGAAAGGUACUUUUCAAAAAAGUGCAUAUUAGGCAAAUUCACUUUUAAAUGUGUAUAUUUUAAGAGAACUUUGCGUUAAAAUGCUGAAGAAUUUCCAUGAGGAUUUAAACUUGCAUGCACACACACACACACACACACACACACACACACUGAUGGUGAAAUAUGAAGACCUUAACUUAGGACCGGAAAAAAAUGAGAAAAUGAGAGAAACUGAAAUUGACAGAUUUGUACAAUGCAUUCUUCGUGUUAUUAUUACUAAUAUAUGCAUUUGUAUGCACACUUAACCCCAGUAUAUAUGUUUGUGUACAUCUAACUUUGCCAUAGAACUGCACUGCAAAAUUUGGAGAAGUGCAAAUUUGCAGAGAAAGCUGUGUUUCAGUUCACAUUUUGCUUCACCAGGUGCAAAUUUGGUAGGUUCACCAUGAAAUGUGAAUGGAAAAAAUAUAUAUUUUCCCCGUCCUUACCCGCACCCCAGUAAAAGUGGGUGACCGUCCUUUAGCAAUAUACUGGAGAUGAAAAGCCAAAAACACAUAGCCAGCCACACUUAAAACACAGCCUGCGAAAGCCUUUCCUCACAUAUUUGCCAUGCCUUCCUUACUGCAAGCACAGCCCCAUCUGUUAAUAAGCAGGCAUUAGCGGAAAGCUGAAAGUUAAACAGUCAUUCUGAGUUAAACAAAUUCACAGCGUUUGAAUGUUUGAUUCACAAUGCGAAUGUCAGUCCUUGGCUGCGGCUUCAUCUCCUUAAUGUUUUGUUUUAAAUUGAAAUUGAUCCUCUUUGUUCAAAGAUUGUAAUUUGAAACACCUUACAAGCAAUUAGCCUGCAAUGAAUCUAUUUUCAAAAUGUGCCCAGCCUAGGCAAUAUUUAUUAACGUGUGCUCUCUCUGGCCCCUUGUUAUCGCAGGCGACAGAUGAUGCAACCCUAACUGUAGCUCAGCGGCACAUUGCAUGAAGCAUUGGAGGUCUGAUAACACAUUAAACUCUACCAUUAGGGGGGCCUUCUUCCUCUUCAGCGUUUCUGCCGGCUCUGCUGAGAAAAUUGUUAGUGGCUGGCUGCAUUUCCCCCUUCUACUUUUGCACUCCAUUGUGCUCAUUAUGUCACACAGGGCUUAAAACUCCUAACUGCUCAGACUGGCUCAUGAGGGUAGCUGAUUUAUUACACAGUCUCUCCCUCCCCUGAACAAUUAUUCACAGAUGGGUAAGUCCAUUACGGGAGGGGAGGGGCUGAGAACAUGCCGCUAUUUUAAAAGUAGGGUAUCAUUUCUCAGCGUGAGAAACGUCCCAACAAAAGAGAAUGCCAUUAUAAAUCUUACAUUUCAUUUGUCAUUAUAAAUCUUACAUUUCAUUUCAAUCACGCUCUUGACUAAUAACAGGGGCUAUUUUGCAGCCACUGUGUUAUUAGGGAUGUUUAUAUCAUUUAGAAGGCUUGCUGUCGGGAGCCAUAGCUAAGGAUCAAUUCUUUCAAAAUACACACACACCGCACAAGAAAGUGUCCUGAUGAUUUUAAAGUAUUUUUAAACACUGUCAUUAUACCCUUUCAUAAAUCAAACAUUGAGAGGGGGUGAUCAGAGAACACACCAAUCUUUGACUGCCUGCCUGCCUUGCCUUGCCUUGCCAUUUCUCCCUUUGGGGUAUGGCGAGAAAUAGCCAGCUAGGAAGGUAUCCUUUAUCCUUCCCAUAAAUAUCAGCUAAGAAAGGGAUGAGUGACUUCUGGAUGAAAGCCACAACACAAAAGCCAUAUGUUAUUCUCUCUUCAGAUUAAUCACCUGCUUUGUGGGGAAAGGCCUUAGAAGGCUGUUCUUGGAAUAAGAACACUUCUAAUACAUCAAGUCGGGGCAUUGUUUAAAUGAAAAGGGGGGAUGAAAGCAUUUUCUCAAAGACAUCUCUCCCCAAACCUCAUGCUUUAUUUUUUAGGACUGAUUUGGUGCAUCUGAGGUCUAAUACUCAAGCUUGCUUCGGACAGUGGUUAAAAAUAAUUAAAUUGAUAUUUACAUGUGGUUAAUAUUUUUGGAUGGGUGUUAUCGCUCUUCCUUCCCUCAUAUUAUGAAAUCCAAGUGAUUUCCAGUGUGGUUAAUUUGUGAUUUCCUCAUGAGAAAAUCAGGGUGUUAGAAUUCCGGCUCCGUUAUUGCAGUCAUGGGAUUUUUGUCUAUCACAUGAAGGUAGAUGUUUUGACUCCACAGAGUGGGAAGUGACGGAGACAGGAUGUUUGUGUUACUGUGUUCUGUGAAGUGGGACUAUUGUCCUUUGUUCUUUUUCUCUCUGCUGUCUGAUGCUAGAGAGAGAGGGAGCCAUGUUGCAGUGCUCUGUGUGUCUUUAUAUGUAAAUAAAGUAGAUUAGCCAAAAUGCUGAGUUGCUGAGGUCUGUUACGCAAGCUGCGAAGACUCUCUGGAUCCCUAAGUGUGUCGGUGUCUGUUGGCAUCCGUCGCUGUGAUGUUUGGGCAGAAGCUCCCAUACUAAUGACCAGGAGGGAGAGAACAUGUCAGUUGGGCAUGUGUCUCUGCCAGGGUCCUACUCGAGUGUAGGGCAAGCUCAUGACACAGGGUACUCACUAUUUUAAAAAAUGGGGUUGGAGUGAUAUUAUCAUGUCACUGUUGGGUUUACACCAACUUUGUGAAUUAUCUGACAGUGGCAGCAAUGCCCUCCUGCUACCAGUGUUGCUGCUGCUUACUUGGGAUUGGGGUGAGUCUGGACAAUGCAGUUGCGCUGAUGACAGUGCCAAAUUGGUGGUAGCACUCCUGCUGAUGCAACCAUGUGGCUCCAACAUUAUUGGUGUUCUGCCCCAUUUCAAUCCAGGUAAUCAACCACAAAGUUGCUAGGGUUGCUUUGCAGCUCAGCCCCAUCACAUGCGCCUCAACCAGGUAUGAAAGAUUCUGUCAACUUUGGUUCUCUCGGUUUCUCAUUUCCCACCCUUAAUUUCAGUACUUCACAAUUCUUCACGAAAGUUCAUUUUAGCAUGAAUUUCGCCUACUAAAAGCAUUUUGCUGUGAACUUUUGACUAAUGUACAUUCUGGUCCUGCUUUACAAACGUUCACUAUGUGGAAAUUCACUCAUCCGAACAUGGGGAAUUAGUACUCAAACCUUGCCAUACACAUUGCAGAGUCAGAUAUGCAAAUAAAUAGCAGUUUUUACUUCCUUGUUUGCCUUUUACUAGUUCGUUGAGGAACAAAGGAAGGAAGGGAAGGGGAGUGAUCAAACAAAUCAGAUAGAUUUUCCUCUGGCUUUUUUUUGUUUUGUUUGUUUUGGAGGGUUAAAAUUCCAUGGCUGGAAAUUUUUCCAUAGGAAACAAUGGAAAUUGUAGACUCAUUAUGCAAACCCUUGCCUAACGAACAAUUUCCAGGGAAAGUGUUGUGAUGGUAAGUGGGACUUGCAUGUACAUAUUUUUGCAAGCAAUUUCCCCUAAUAUAAUGUAUGUUUGUAUUUUGACCCCCACUGAUAUAUUUGUUUGUAUGCACACUUUUCUGCAAUUUUUGCAUUUUUGUAGACAUUGGUUGUAUAACAGCAUCACAAAAUUCAGAAAAGUGUGAAUUUUGAAGGAUGGUUGUGUUUCAGUUCCCAUAUUGAUUUAGAAAAUGUGAAUUAGGUAGGCUCACCUUUAAAUGCAAACUGAAUCAAUUUCCCCCCAUCCCUAUCCACCGCUGUUAUCAGACUAUUUAAAAUCUUUAAUUUCCCACUUUAAAUCUCUGGUACAUAUAUUUUGCUGCAGGAGACUAACACGGUUACUCCUCUUGAUAUAAUUAUAGAUGUUCUUAACUGCAUGUACUUGUAUUUCUCUCAACAAUGUUGUAUCUUCAUUGAGACCCAGUUUAAAUAAAUAGAAACGAAUCUGGAAGUAGUUCAGAGUCAUUGUGAUAUAGUGGUUAAUGUAUCAGACUAGGACUUGGAAGUCUACUGUUCAAAUCCUAAUUCAGUCACAAUGCUUACUGGGUGACCUUGGGCCAGUCACCAACUCUCAGCUGGGCCGACCUCAUAGGAUUGUUGUGAGGAUAAUACAGAGAGGGUGAAACCCCUUUGAGCUGCUUGGAGAAAAGGGAGGAUACACAGAAGGGGGGGAACCCAUAUAUAUAUAUAGAGAGAGAGAGAGAGAGAGAGAGAGAGAGAGCAUGCCAUGUUGGUGCUGGAAGCAAAGCUGAAGAUAAAAAUCAAGCAGGCUUGUGUUCUGUGCAUUUUCUCAAAUAAACCUACGCAAACACAUAUUUCACUCCUCAGUCCUAUCCGCCCUUCGUAGCUUUCUUUCCAUGCAUUUCACUGUGUAGGUUUUAUCUCACCCUUCAUGAAUAGAAAUACUCAACCUCCAAAUUCAAGUGUAAUCCAUCUGUGAAAGAAAGAUUCCAAACCUAGAACAGUUGCCAACAUUUUUUUCCCUAAUCUGCCAGCCUCUCCAAGUAUAGCAUCAUUCAUUCAUAGUGGAGCGAGAGUUUCAGCUGUUUCACUUAGUUGCCUUGCUCAGAUAAAUUUAUACAGAUGACUGAGGCAGAAAAUUCUACAUGCCCCAGUACACAGGCAGCUCUCGUGAACACACACAUGGCUCUCUCAGAAUUUAAUUCCUGUUGAGCACCCAGAAAGUUCACAACCCUUGAAAUAUAACUGAGAGCUCCUGUUCUUGGUGGUAUGUGGGGGGGGGGGGAAUCACCUGUGGAAAACAUAAAGGAAGAAAAGGACCAGGAAUUGAAUUAGGACACAAUCCUCAUGGAAGGUAUGCAUAAGAUGUUUUAAAGUUCCAGUGAAAUCAGGUUGUUGCCACUGAUGUCAUUACACAUCUUAGUUAAACUGAUAAUCUCCCCGUUUAACACGACUAUUGCUUAAAUUUGUUUUGGGAAAUAAGUGUCCUCUGAUUUUUCUGCUCAUAUGUAAUUCCACUGCAAAUUAUUUCCACCCAGUUUUAGCAGCAAAAAUAGCAGGGUGGGGGGAUGAGGAAUGCACUGGGUUAAAAUAGGCGACAACACUUUGGGGAUAAUUUUAACGAUCUACAAUGAACAAAGGAGCUAAUUCAUUAAACAUCAACCAAUCACUGUCCCAGUGUGGGUUCCUAAGGGACCCACCCCAUAUCUUUAGAUCUUUUGGGAAAGAUUGCUUGGUUUGGGACCCCAGAGUUGCUAUUGCCGUACAUAAAGCCCUUUCUACCAAGAUUCUAAUGUAUUGGGAAAUUUCUGUGUGGGAAAAUCUGGAUAAGCCAAACAAGUGAAGGCCUUAUCCCAAUCAUAAGCUUUCUGGUGUUGGUGUCCCUUCUCCUUAUGGUCAUGUCCCAAAGGACUCACCAUUUCCCCAUGUCUUCUCUCUCCCCAUCUAGCACUGAGCCUGAUGCUACUACUGCCCAUCAUCAGUUGCCUCUACCCAUCACAGCCUGUCUGCACCCUAAGAUCUACAUCCACUUUCGUGCUGCGUACAUUUAAAUUUGAUUUUGGGUUGGGAAGAAUUCCAACAGAGUCAUUUUUCCAGAUAAACUCAUUCCCUCUGUUUACACCUGUUGGCCUGUCUUUCACACCUGUUGGCCCCUCCACUCUCCAGUCUGUCAGUUUCCUUAAGCUUGGGGGCAUAGGAUUUGCUCUUGGAAAGCACUUAGAUUGAAGCGUGUUGGUGAAAUUGUUCCUUCUGAUUACAUGCUAGAUUUGUCAGUUGUGAAGGAGCUCCCUGCCUCCCCCCAUUCCUAACAUUAGUGAUUUCCUCAAGGAAGAGACAUAUGUUUGAAUAUUGCAAAUCUGCCCUUCCACCCAGAGCAUUGCAUAGAUGCCACAAGGCUUUUUAGAGAUCCCUGUUUUGAUUUGUGAAUGAUCGUACAUACCCUGCUUUGCUUCCUCAAAGCCCAGAAUCACCCCAAAACACCUUGCUUCUCCUUGAGGAUUCAUCCAAAUCUGAUGCACACCCCUGGUAUGUAUAAUUAGGUGUCCAUAAGUACAUCUAUGGUAUACUUAAGAAGGCAAUCUCAUAAAUGUCCAUUCAGAAGAAAGUCCCAUUGAGUUUUUGCAGGAAAAUGAGCACAGGACAGCAGCCUGUGUAGUCAAUUGUAGUCAAUGAGUUUAUUUUUUGUGAGAGCAUGUUGCAUUAUGUGUGUUUUUGUUGGUUCCUGCAUUUUAAAAAAAUCAAAUUCCAUGAAAUAAGAAAAUAAAUGUUCGUUCUAUCAUCCUUCCUUGAAAUAGUCUACAAGCCAUAGGAAACUUCAGUGUGUGUGUGUGUGUGUGUGUGUGUGUAUCACUAAAGUGCCUACGCCAGAUCAAUAAUUAAAUCUAUAUAUGGUCAUAAAUUUUAAUUGGAAUUGAAACUCUGGGUAGGUUUCCCAGAACUGAUAAUGAGUUCAUUGCUUAUGAGAUCCCUAGUUUACCUCUUGGCUGUCAUGUAACUUUCCAAUAAAUUACAUCUUGAUAAUCAGAUCAAGUAUAUAUAUAUAUAUAUGGCAAUCAAAAUAAUCUUUUCUUCCAGCAGUAAAGGAAUAGCUCUGAAUCUCAGCUGCUUUCCUAGACACAAACACUGAUGGAUGGAAAAAGAAGAAGAGACAAGUGCACUGAAAUGAUUUCCAAAGUGUGGGUUGGAUUCUAAUAAAACCAAGAACAACAACUGUGGCGAGAAAGAGAUAGAUGUUCAGCUUAAUAGCAUGAUUUCAGUAUCUGACGUUUAACCAAUUAUUGUUGGACUAUCCACCAUGAUAGCUUCAAUUCCUGAAAGGUACAACUGUAAGGAGAAUGAAAAACUGGUUACAGGACACAUUUUGAAAUUGCUGCUUUAGGAAGAGUUGUAUCUCUGAACUAUAGAGUAUCAAUGUACAAGUAAGUGGGGGAAAUGAUUGGGCCUUGUAACUGCCAUUAGACUUGCAUGCAGAAGAG